CACGGAGUUAGCCGGGGCUUCUUCUGGGGGUACAGUCAUUAUCUUCCCCCCUGAAAGAGCUUUACAACCCUAAGGCCUUCAUCGCUCACGCGGCAUGGCUAGAUCAGGCUUGCGCCCAUUGUCUAAGAUUCCCCACUGCUGCCUCCCGUAGGAGUCUGGGCCGUGUCUCAGUCCCAGUGUGGCUGAUCAUCCUCUCAAACCAGCUAUGGAUCGUCGGCUUGGUAGGCCAUUACCCCACCAACUACCUAAUCCAACGCGGGCCGAUCCCUUGCCGAUAAAUCUUUCUCCCGAAGGACACAUACGGUAUUACUCCCAGUUUCCCGAGGCUAUUCCGUAGCAAAGGGUACGUUCCCACGCGUUACUCACCCGUCCGCCGCUCCCCUUGCGGGCGCUCGACUUGCAUGUGUUAGGCCUGCCGCCAGCGUCCGUUCUGAGCCAGGAUCAAACUCU
rnacentral:rRNA from 1 species